ACUGAGGCAGGCAUGAUCUUUGCCUUAGCUGCACUGUCCCAGCUGUUGGGCUGGCAGGGAGCGGGAGGUACAAGUUCAGAGACCCAGACAGAGCAGACUGCCCCAGUGUCGGCGCAUAGUCCCCAUCUCUCCUGGGUAAACCACUUUCCACCCUAGUGGAACAAUGAAGGGCUCACAGUAGGUCCCUGGGUGUGGUAGAGCUGUCCUCAUGUGAAGAAAAACCCCAGC